rnacentral:rRNA from 1 species
UAAUACGUAGGGUGCAAGCGUUAAUCGGAAUUACUGGGCGUAAAGCGUGCGCAGGCGGUUUUGUAAGACAGGCGUGAAAUCCCCGGGCUCAACCUGGGAAUUGCGCUUGUGACUGCAAGGCUGGAGUGCGGCAGAGGGGGAUGGAAUUCCGCGUGUAGCAGUGAAAUGCGUAGAUAUGCGGAGGAACACCGAUGGCGAAGGCAAUCCCCUGGGCCUGCACUGACGCUCAUGCACGAAAGCGUGGGGAGCAAACAGGAUUAGAUACCCUGGUAGUCCACGCCCUAAACGAUGUCAACUGGUUGUUGGGUCUCUUCUGACUCAGUAACGAAGCUAACGCGUGAAGUUGACCGCCUGGGGAGUACGGCCGCAAGGUUG